rnacentral:misc_RNA from 1 species
UUACACAAUUGAAUAUCAUGCUCUUCAGCUCCAAAUUAAGACCAUAUAUAGUAAACCAAUAAAAAAAAUCAAUGAUCGUCUUCUGUACCACAAAAUCCAAAUUAACUUAUUUUAGAUCACUAAUUAACUGCAGCCAAGUUGAUUUUGUAGGAAUUAAUUAAGUAGUAGUCGUCUGCAAUACAUCACCAAAACCUCCCUCUCUAAGAUACUGAAUGUACCUUGAGAAUUCAGGCCUAGCAGUUGCCUUUUUCUUCCUCUUCGUUUCAAAUAAACUAAAUAUCGGGUGAAUCUUGCUCGCCUUUUUCGCUUCUUUUAGCUGAGCACUUGCACGAAAAUUGUCCUCCGAUGUAACCUUCUUCGAUGAAGAUCUAAAGAACUUAGCAGCAGCAGAAGCAGGAACUGUUCUGUUUCUGCUCAAUUUAGGGUUUCCCAAUAUUGGAGCACAAGCCUCCUCAUCUUCCUCUCCCUUAUUCAAUACUCCGUAUCCUCUAUAGUCCCUUCGUGUACUCAUUGCUCUUAACAUGGCGUAGCUUUAAUUAUUUAGUGUAUAAGUUACGCAAAAAAAGGGAAACAGCACCCAAAUUUCUUCAAUUAUAGGCUGCUUAAAA